ACGGAGCAGACCAGUCAAGAUGUGUGACUUCAUGGAGGACCAGACUGCAGAAUUCAAGGAAGCCUUCCAGCUGUUUGACUGAACAGGCAAUGGCAAGAUCCUGUACAGCCAGUGUGGGGAUGUGAUGAGGGCCCUGGGCCAGAACCCUACCAAUGCCAAGGUACUCAAGAUCCUGGGGAACCCCAAGAGUGAUGAGAUGAAUGUGAAGGUGUUGGACUUUGAGCACUUUCUGCCCACGCUGCAGACUGUGGCCAAGAACAAGGACCAAGGCAUUUAUGAGGAUUACGUUGAAGGUCUUCGGGUAUUUGACAAGGAAGGGAAUGGCACGGUCAUGGGUGCUGAAAUCCGGCAUGUCCUUGUCACACUGGGUGAGAAGAUGACAGAGGAAGAAGUCGAGAUGCUGGUGGCAGAACAUGAGGACAGUAAUGCUUGUAUCAACCAUGAAGAGCUCGUCCGUAUGGUGCUGAAUGGCUGAGGACCGUCCCAUAUCCCCAGAGCCCAUGCCUUUUUCUGUGUGAGACAGUAUCUAGCCUGAAGGUGUCCUAGGCGCUCUGGUCACAGCACCUUUCCCAUCUUGUCUCUUUGGGACGAUGUUUGCCAUCAGCAUUCACCAAAUAAACUUAUUCUUUGUGC